GGGACGUCCAGAAGUUGGACGUGGUGGUCUGUAAAACCGCCGGCUCAGCCUACGUUGGUUCAAACCCAACACCCGCCA
rnacentral:tRNA from 1 species